rnacentral:rRNA from 1 species
GGAUUGGGAGGGUUCUACGGAACCCGUUUGGUGAAUCUAGUGCCGAGAAAAGCCUUCUAUGUGUUGAAUUUCUAGUACCCGUACCCCAAACCGACACAGGUGGGUGGGUAGAGCAUACCUAGGGGCGCGUGAUAACUCUCUCUAAGGAACUCGGCAAAAUGGCCCUGUAACUUCGGGAUAAGGGGUGCCUGCGUGAGCAGGCCGCAGUGAAAUGGCUCUGGCGACUGUUUACCAAAAACACAGGUCUCUGCUAAGUCGUAAGACGAUGUAUAGGGGCUGACUCCUGCCCAGUGCCGGAAGGUUAAGGAAGUUGGUUAGCGCAAGCGAAGCUGGCGACCGAAGCCCCGGUGAACGGCGGCCGUAACGAUAACGGUCCUAAGGUAGCGAAAUUCCUUGUCGGGUAAGUUCCGACCCGCACGAAAGGAGUAACGAUCAGAGCGCUGUCUCGGAGAGAGACACGGCGAAAUAGGAUUGUCCGUGAAGAUACGGACUACCUGCACCCGGACAGAAAGACCCUAUGAGGCUUUACUGUAACUUGGAAUUGUGUUCGGACUUUGUCUGCGCAGAAUAGGUGGGAGGCUAUGAAACGUUCCUCGCGGGGAACUGGAGCCAUCGUUGAGAUACCACUCUGGCAGAGUCUGGAUUCUAACCUACGGGGACAGUUCCAGGUGGGCAGUUUGACUGGGGCGGUCGCCUCCUAAAAUGUAACGGAGGCGCGCAAGGGUUCCCUCAGGCUGGUUGGAAAUCAGCCAUAGAGUGUAAAAGCAUAAGGGAGCUUGACUGUGAGACCUACAAGUCGAGCAGGGACGAAAGUCGGCUUUAGUGAUCCGACGGCACUGAGUGGAAGGGCCGUCGCUCAACGGAUAAAAGUUACUCUAAGGAUAACAGGCUGAUCUCCCCCAAGAGUUCACAUCGACGGGGAGGUUUGGCACCUCGAUGUCGGCUCGUCGCAACCUGGGGCGGUAGUACGUCCCAAGGGUUGGGCUGUUCGCCCAUUAAAGCGGCACGUGAGCUGGGUUCAGAACGUUGUGAGACAGUUCGGUCCAUAUCCGGUGUAGGCGUAGGAGCAUUGAAAGGAUCUCUCCUUAGUACGAGAGGACCGGGAGGGACGUACCUCUGGUGUACCUGUUAUCGUGCCAACGGUAAACGCAGGGUAGCCAUGUACGGAGUGGAUAACCGCUGAAAGCAUCUAAGUGGGAAGCCCACCUUAAGAUGAGUGCUCCCUUGAGGCCACGGGAAGACGACCCGUUUGAUAGGCGCUAGGUGGAAGUGCAGUAAUGCAUGCAGCCGAGGCGUACUAAUAGGCCGAUGGCUUGU